rnacentral:rRNA from 1 species
CCUACGGGAUGCAGCAGUGGGGAAUAUUGGACAAUGGGCGCAAGCCUGAUCCAGCCAUGCCGCGUGUGUGAAGAAGGCCUUCGGGUUGUAAAGCACUUUUGUUGGGGAAGCGGUACCCAAAGAAUAAGCACCGGCUAACUUCGUGCCAGCAGCCGCGGUAAUACGAAGGGUGCAAGCGUUACUCGGAAUUACUGGGCGUAAAGCGUGCGUAGGUGGUGAGUUAAGUCUGUCGUGAAAGCCCCGGGCUCAACCUGGGAAUGGCGAUGGAUACUGGCUCGCUAGAGUGCGGUAGAGGAGAGUGGAAUUCCCGGUGUAGCAGUGAAAUGCGUAGAGAUCGGGAGGAACAUCAGUUGCGAAGGCGGCUCUCUGGACCAGACUGACACUGAGGCACGAAAGCGUGGGGAGCAAACAGGAUUAGAUACCCGAGUAGUC